rnacentral:rRNA from 1 species
UACGUAGGGGGCAAGCGUUGUCCGGAUUUAUUGGGCGUAAAGAGCGUGUAGGCGGCCUGACAAGUCUGCUGUGAAAACUCGAGGCUCAACCUCGAGAUGUCGGCGGAAACUGUCUGGCUAGAGUCCGGAAGAGGAGAGUGGAAUUCCUGGUGUAGCGGUGAAAUGACGCAGAUAUCAGGAAGAACACCUAUGGCGAAGGCAGCUCUCUGGGACGGUACUGACGCUGAGACGCGAAAGCGUGGGGAGCGAACAGG